CCUACGGGUGGCUGCAGUGGGGAAUUUUGGACAAUGGGGGAAACCCUGAUCCAGCCAUGCCGCGUGCGGGAAGAAGGCCUUCGGGUUGUAAACCGCUUUCAGCCGGAAAGAAAUCGCACGGACCAAUACUCUGUGUGGAUGACGGUACCGGAAGAAGAAGCACCGGCUAACUACGUGCCAGCAGCCGCGGUAAUACGUAGGGUGCGAGCGUUAAUCGGAAUUACUGGGGGGGUUGCGUGCGCCAGACGUUAAAUCCCCGGGCUUAACCUGGUAACUGCGGUUGGAACUGGGAGACUAGAGUGUGUCAGAGGGAGGUGGAAUUCCGCGUGUAGCAGUGAAAUGCGUAGAUAUGCGGAGGAACACCGAUGGCGAAGGCAGCCUCCUGGGAUAACACUGACGCUCAUGCACGAAAGCGUGGGGAGCAAACAGGAUUAGAUACCCGUGUAGUC
rnacentral:rRNA from 1 species